rnacentral:sRNA from 1 species
CGCUCGCGUGAGGGAUAGCAGCGGCAUCCUUUAUUUUUUUCUUUAAAAAAAUAAAGAUAGAGCGCAUAGCCCGACCCGCA